rnacentral:rRNA from 1 species
UGGGGAAUAUUGGACAAUGGGGGGAACCCUGAUCCAGCCAUGCCGCGUGUGUGAAGAAGGCCUUAUGGUUGUAAAGCACUUUAAGCGAGGAGGAGGGUACUGGUAUUAAUACUACCAGGUACAGGACGUUACUCGCAGAAUAAGCACCGGCUAACUCUGUGCCAGCAGCCGCGGUAAUACAGAGGGUGCAAGCGUUAAUCGGAAUUACUGGGCGUAAAGCGCGCGUAGGUGGUUCGUUAAGUUGAAUGUGAAAGCCCCGGGCUCAACCUGGGAACUGCAUCCAAAACUGGCGAGCUAGAGUAGGGCAGAGGGUGGUGGAAUUUCCUGUGUAGCGGUGAAAUGCGUAGAUAUAGGAAGGAACACCAGUGGCGAAGGCGACCACCUGGGCUCAUACUGACACUGAGGUGCGAAAGCGUGGGGAGCAAACAGG